rnacentral:rRNA from 1 species
GAUGAACGCUGGCGGCGUGCCUAAUACAUGCAAGUCGAGCGAAUGGAUUGAGAGCUUGCUCUUAUGAAGUUAGCGGCGGACGGGUGAGUAACACGUGGGUAACCUGCCCAUAAGACUGGGAUAACUCCGGGAAACCGGGCCUAAUACCGGAUAACAUUUUGAACCGCAUGGUUCGAAAUUGACAGGCGGCUUCGGCUGUCACUUACGGAUGGACCCGCGUCGCAUUAGCUAGUUGGUGAGGUAACGGCUCACCAAGGCAACGAUGCGUAGCCGACCUGAGAGGGUGAUCGGCCACACUGGGACUGAGACACGGCCCAGACUCCUACGGGAGGCAGCAGUAGGGAAUCUUCCGCAAUGGACGAAAGUCUGACGGAGCAACGCCGCGUGAGUGAUGAAGGCUUUCGGGUCGUAAAACUCUGUUGUUAGGGAAGAACAAGUGCUAGUUGAAUAAGCUGGCACCUUGACGGUACCUAACCAGAAAGCCACGGCUAACUACGUGCCAGCAGCCGCAGUAA